AAUCAUAGCCGCGGGGGCCCCUGCAAGCAGCUGAGAACGGGCUUGGCUUGCAGGUGUAGCAGGAAAGACGCAGAACCAACCACCCACGUGGGUCUGAGCCGGGCCGGGCUCACUGGCUGCCCAUCCGGGUCGCCACCCAGUCACUCCCCUGCGGCUCCGCCUUGUUUGGUCUCCUCCACUGUGCAUCACCCCUGAAAUGACUGCGGGCCUGGUCUGUUUACAAUUGUGAGCGUGUCGUCUCCUCGCAACUGGAAGGGCCUUUGCAGAUGUGAUCAAGAUAAGAUGAGGUCAUUUGGGAGUAGGCUGAGCCCUGAUCAAAUGACUAGUGUCCUUAUAAGAAGAUGGAAGACUGGACACAGACACGUCGAGGAGGCCAAGUGAGGACGGAAGCAGACUUUGGAGGCGUGCGCUUACGAGGAAUGAUAAGGAUUGCCGACAGCCACCAGAGGCUGGCAGAGGCGAGGAAGGAUCCCCUUCUAGAGGCUUCAGAGGGCCUGGUGCUGCCGACACCUUGAUUUUGGCCUUCUGGCCUCCCGAACCAGGAGACUAUAAAUCUCUGUUGCUUUGAG